UGCAAUCUACCUUUCACAGAGGGAUAGCCCAGAGAAAUUUGGAUUAAUACCUCAUAGUAUAUAGAGUUGGCAUCAACAUUAUAUUAAAGUCACAACGGUGAAAGAUGAGCAUGCGUCCCAUUAGCUAGAUGGUAAGGUAACGGCUUACCAUGGCAACGAUGGGUAGGGGUCCUGAGAGGGAGAUC
rnacentral:rRNA from 1 species